CUCCUACGGGAGGCAGCAGUGGGGAAUUUUCCGCAAUGGGCGAAAGCCUGACGGAGCAAUACCGCGUGGGGGAGGAAGGCUCUUGGGUCGUAAACCUCUUUUCUCAGGGAAGAAUAAAAUGACGGUACCUGAGGAAUCAGCAUCGGCUAACUCCGUGCCAGCAGCCGCGGUAAUACGGAGGAUGCAAGCGUUAUCCGGAAUGAUUGGGCGUAAAGCGUCCGCAGGUGGCAGUGUAAGUCUGCUGUCAAAGGUCAGGGCUUAACCCUGAACAGGCAGUGGAAACUACACAGCUAGAGUGCGGUGGGGGCAGAGGGAAUUCCCAGUGUAGCGGUGAAAUGCGUAGAGAUUGGGAAGAACACCGGUGGCGAAAGCGCUCUGCUAGGCCGUAACUGACACUCAUGGACGAAAGCUAGGGGAGCGAAUGGGAUUAGAUACCCCAGUAGUCCUAGCCGUAAACGAUGGAUACUAGGCGUAGCUCGUAUCGACCCGAGCUGUGCCGUAGCUAACGCGUUAAGUAUCCCGCCUGGGGAGUACGCUCGCAAGAGUGAAACUCAAAGGAAUUGACGG
rnacentral:rRNA from 1 species